rnacentral:tRNA from 1 species
GCGGAUUAAUGUAAAUAGUAAACAUAAUUGGCUCAUGACCAGUCUAUGAAGGUGCAAGUCCUUUGUCCGCA